AGUGGGAUCACAGGGAACUUGCUCGAGAAUCUGAUGUUAGAGGAUGUUUUACAGCUCCUGUUCUCCCUGCUGGAAGGACAGCUACCUUUUCACAGAAUAGAUCCCUGCUCAGGAACCCACUGUGGGCCAAUCAACAGCUUCCCAAAACGAGUCAGGGAGUUCCAGAAGCUCCCAUUCCGGUGCCAGCUGAGAAUCCAUUUGGAUAAUAACGGAGUAAAAACUCUGGUUUGGAGAAAGUUUCUGUAAUGUUUUUCUUUUUCCUUUUUGGUGGAAGGGAGAAUAAAGGAGGAUAUUGCCUGGUAAGCAUGCAAAGAAAAAAAGUCACGCCAAUUUCACUAGAAUUGCCCAGAACCUCAACUCUGGUGAACUGCAGGUGACAACACUUCACACUGUUUACAUGAUUGGGGCUUCCCUGGAAACUGCGCUGACCCUGAGAUGAUUGAACAUUUAGAGUAAAACCCUUGAUGUAGUUCAUAAAAUUGGAUUCAAAUGAAAAGUUUAAUGUGGAGUCAUUCAAAAAUAACACUAAGAGCUCUUCCCUGAAUUCAAAAGAAAAAGGAAGGAAAACAUGUUAGUCUUAGCAGGAGCCAAGGCUGCAGGUGGGGGAAGAUGGAGAGGACAGUGUUUGGGUUUUAUUAUGUUUACUUUUCUCUUACGGAAGAAUAGAAGAUGGAUGACUUGAUGCCUGAGGUAAUUCAGUAUGUUUCACCAAUUUGGAGAUGGUCAUUUGUCCAUACUUAAGUCUCAGUAAUUAUGUUGAAAUAUUAUAAUUUCUGUAAGCUGGGAAGGUUACAAUGUGGUGGUUGUCAUUGCCCGGGCAUGCACAAACUUGGUCGUGAUUCCUGGUGGCAUGAUUAGACAGACAACUGCAACCCCUUGACACUUAAUUCCAGAAAUCAUUUAAGAAUCACUUGAAAAAGGAAUAUAUUAUUGUUCUCCUUCCAAUAACCAAGUGUCUUCUGAAAACCUUUCAUUGUCACUUUCUGGUAAUUGAACAAUGAGAACACAUGGACACAGGAAGGGGAACAUCACACACUGGGAACUGUUGUGGGGUGGGGGGAGGGGGGAGGGAUAGCAUUGGGAGAUAUACCUAAUGCUAAAUGACGAGUUAAUGGGUGCAGCACACCAACAUGGCACAUGUAUGCAUAUGUAACAACCCUGCACAUUGUGCACAUGUACCCUAAAACUUAAAAUAUAAUAAUAAUAAAAUUUAAAAAAA
rnacentral:lncRNA from 10 species